CAGAAAGAAAAAUCAAGGAAUCAAUCCCAUUUACAGUUGCACCAAAAACCAUAAAAUACCUAGGAAUAAAUCUAACCAAAGAGGUAAAAGAUCUGCACUCUGAAAAUUAUACAACACUGAUGAUAAAAAUUGAA